GUUUCAUCCAUGUCCCUGUAAGGGACAUGAUCUCAUUCCUUUAUAUGGCUGCAUAGUAUUCCAUGGCGUAUAUGUAUAUGUAUAUGUAUAUGUACCACAUUUUCUUUAUCCAGUUUAUCAUUGAUGGGAUUUGAUUGGUUCCACAUCUUCACUAUAGUAAAUAGUGCUGCCAUAAACAUACGUGUGCAUGUGUCUUUAUAGUAGAAUGAUUAAUAUUCCUUUGGGUAUAUAUCCAGUAAUGGAAUAGCUGGGUCAAAUGGUAUUUCUGGUUCCAGAUCCUUGAGGAAUCUCCACACUGUCUUCCACAAUGGUUGAACUAAUUUACCUUCCCACCAACAGUGUAAAAACAUUUCUAUUUCUCCACACUCUCGCCAGCAUCUAUUGUUUCUUGACUUUUUAAUAAUUGCCAUUCUGACUGGC
rnacentral:lncRNA from 10 species